ensembl:misc_RNA Metazoa_SRP Metazoan signal recognition particle RNA
ACUUGGCAUGGUGGAGCAUGCCUUAAUCCCAGCUACUCAGGAGGCUGAGGUGGGAGGAUCUCUUGAGUCAGGAGUUCUGGGCUGCAAGCGCUAUGCCGAUCAGGUGUCCGCACUAAGUUCGGCAUCAAUAUGGUGACCUCCCGGGAGUGGGGGAACCACAAGUUUGCCUCAGGAGGGGUGAACUGGCCCAGGUCGGAAACAGAGCAGAUCAAAACUCCCAUGCUGACCAGUAGUAGGAUCGUGCCUGUGAAUAGCCACUGUACUCCUGCCUGGGCAAUAUAGUAAGACCCUGUCUCCU